CAAUAGCGUAUACUAAUGUUGUUGCAGUUAAAAAGCUCGUAGUUGAACUUCUGGUAGGAGUGUCCCGGCCUUUUUGUUUUUACAAAUUGUAUGCUGUGUGACAUCUCUGGCCAUCCUUCUUCUUUGUUUAAAGAAGAUCGUUCACUGUAAAAAAAUUAGGGUGUUCAAAGCAAAAGUUUCUUUGGAAUAUAUUAGUAUGGGAUGAUAAGAUAGGCUCUAGAUGCUAUUUUGUUGGUUUGCACAUUUAGAGAAUGAUUAACAGGGACAGUUGGGGGUAUUCGUAUUUACAUGUCAGAGGUGAAAUUCUUGGAUUUUGGAAAGACGAACUACUGCGAAAGCAUUUACCAAGGAUGUUUUCAUUAA
rnacentral:rRNA from 1 species